CCAGGAAGCUCACGGGGAAGCAUAGACAUCCUUGAGUAUGAAGCCUUGGCGGUCAGACAGGGCUUGUUUCCUUCAAGACAGAGCUGCCUUUUUCACUGUGCUCAAGGCUCUAGGUCACUGUCAGACUCGCUGCAUGAAAGAAAAAGCCACACCAGUGACUAGUUGGAAACUCCCGGCAGGAGACCCUUGCAACCCGGUACCGGGGUGUGGUCUGUGGGCCCAGAUGACCCUGGCGGGCUGGGCUUCACUCCAGACCCUCACUCCAGGAGGUGACCUCAGAGCGACAAACAGAGAGAAGAUCAAGAUCCACGAGGCCAAGGUCACGGGCAAGUGAUUUUGCAGCUUCCCCACUUGGAAACUGAGCCUCAGCUCUCCAGGUGGCUUCAAAACUUGCUUCUGGGCUCACUAGGAGGCUUGGACCUCUCUAGGUUGCCGUGUGGCUGGAGAAAGGAUGGAAG